CCUACGGGAGGCAGCAGUGAGGAAUAUUGGUCAAUGGACGAGAGUCUGAACCAGCCAAGUAGCGUGAAGGAUGACUGCCCUAUGGGUUGUAAACUUCUUUUAUAAAGGAAUAAAACGAGGCACGUGUGCCUUUUUGCAUGUACUUUAUGAAUAAGGAUCGGCUAACUCCGUGCCAGCAGCCGCGGUAAUACGGAGGAUCCGAGCGUUAUCCGGAUUUAUUGGGUUUAAAGGGAGCGUAGAUGGGUUGUUAAGUCAGUUGUGAAAGUUUGCGGCUCAACCGUAAAAUUGCAAUUGAUACUGGCAGUCGUGAGUACAGUUGAGGUAGGCGGAAUGCGUGGUGUAGCGGUGAAAUGCUUAGAUAUCACGAAGAACCCCGAUUGCGAAGGCAGCUUACUAAACUGUGACUGACAUUGAUGCUCGAAAGUGUGGGUAUCAAACAGGAGUAGAUACCCCGGUAGUC
rnacentral:rRNA from 1 species